UAAAAGGCCGAUAAUAAAUUCUUGGGUAGUUGAGGUAAGUGUAAUAUUUUUAGAGAUGUAGGCAAUAAAGUUGACAAAAGAAUCCAAAAUUUGAAACUAAAGCCUUACCUAGAGCUGGUUGAAAUGUACUUAUUAAAAUGCUUCUUUUGCUUGUAUGCAACAUAUUACGAAUUGUUUUCUUUUAUCCACUACAAAUUCAUGGUAAAUUAGACCAACUCCAAAGAUGGGGAUAAUUUAAGGGUGCAGUUAGUGUGGAGGAUAGUAUCUUUCUUGUUAAGCUAUCUAGAUUUAGUUUGUGGGCAGUGUAAAUUAUUUGAAAGCAUGUUAUCUUCUUUUUAAGGUGACAGUACCAAUAUUUACCUUUGAGCUAAAAAUGGUGCUUUUCUUGUUACUCAUAUGAAAAUGUUGAUAGGUAUUAUGGAUAGGAUUGCAUGAUUACUGACAACUUGGUUGGCUGGUUUAUUUGUAGCUUUUUAGAACACGUCUUCCAAGUGUUAGAUUAUUGUGUAAAUAGGUACAUUAGCACACUUCAGAGGAUCAAGCUAUCCGUUCGGACAUGCAUGCCAGAUCGAAGACUGAUUUGCGGAUUGGGUUCUACAGUUUUUGUUCGUGGGGUUUGUGAUGCUUAGACUUGGACCAUUAUGGUUUUGCAUUUUAUUGCUAUUGUAAUAAUGUAACCUGCAUUAGUCCUUCCACACGGGACUCCCGGAUCACUAUGGCCGACUUUAUCUUUCUAAUGGAAAUCUAAAUGGGAUGCUCCCUACUUUUUAAGUGA